rnacentral:rRNA from 1 species
UACGUAGGGUGCGAGCGUUAAUCGGAAUUACUGGGCGUAAAGCGUGCGCAGGCGGUUUUGUAAGACAGAUGUGAAAUCCCCGGGCUCAACCUGGGAACUGCAUUUGUGACUGUAGAGCUGGAGUACGGUAGAGGGGGAUGGGAAUUCCGCGUGUAGCAGUGAAAUGCGUAGAUAUGCGGAGGAACACCGAUGGCGAAGGCAAUCCCCUGGACCUGUACUGACGCUCAUGCACGAAAGCGUGGGGAGCAAACA